CCUACGGGGGGCUGCAGUGGGGAAUAUUGGACAAUGGACGAAAGCCUGAUCCAGCCAUGCCGCGUGUGUGAAGAAGGCCUUCGGGUUGUAAAGCACUUUCAGUGGGGAAGAAAGCCUUGGGGCUAAUACCCUCGAGGAAGGACAUCACCCACAGAAGAAGCACCGGCUAACUCCGUGCCAGCAGCCGCGGUAAUACGGAGGGUGCGAGCGUUAAUCGGAAUUACUGGGCGUAAAGCGCGCGUAGGCGGUCUGAUAAGCCGGUUGUGAAAGCCCCGGGCUCAACCUGGGAACGGCAUCCGGAACUGUCAGGCUAGAGUGCAGGAGAGGAAGGUAGAAUUCCCGGUGUAGCGGUGAAAUGCGUAGAGAUCGGGAGGAAUACCAGUGGCGAAGGCGGCCUUCUGGACUGACACUGACGCUGAGGUGCGAAAGCGUGGGUAGCAAACAGGAUUAGAUACCCGGGUAGUC
rnacentral:rRNA from 1 species